UCCCGGGACUCGCCGCUCGCAGCUACGCCCGGCCUUCCCCGCCACCCGGCCCCAUCUCCACCCUCACCGCUGCCCGCCAGGCCUCUUUGGCUGUAACUUGUUCUAGUUUCUUAGGAGUCAAACGCUUCGGGUUCGAGAAUCUUACCCAAAGGAAAGAAAUUGCAUUUAAGAGGAACUCCUUACAAACAAGUCAAGAGGAAGUGGGACUAUUAAAUUUUUAAAAUGUCGCUCAGGUAACAGCAAGGGUUACUCUGUUGCUGCCAAGAGAGCUCGAUAUGAGACGGCCAAACUGAGUCAGAUGCCUGUUUUGUUAAAAUAAGGGUUUCGAGACUGUAGAUUCAUGAGAUGGGGAUUCAGCAGAAGGAAAACAUUCCCAUCUCCAUUAUAGGAAGUUAUAAUGGUGUUGACUAUUUGGAAGAAAAGAGAAAAAGAGACAAAGAAGCGAUCUUGCUUAAUCACAGCAAAUGUUCUAUUAAACAUUAUGUAAAAACAAACUACAAUAGUAAUAAUAUUAGUCAAUUUGGGAGCUUUUUAACAAAUGAACAAAUAUUUCUUUUUAAGACUAUAAGUUCUAUGUGAAAUAAUAUAAUACACAACAGAGACUAGAGUGUUUCAUAAAACAGAAGGACUUUCAGGACUUUUUUUUUUUUUCCCCAAAAGGAAGAUAUGCCAGGAAAAUCUUUAUACAAUUAAAUGGUCUAUGUUCGUCAUGUCUAAAGGCAUGGAAAACACCCAAAAGCUAUUUUUUUUUUCUUACUUGGAGUCAGAUUAUUUAGUAGCAUACAUGUUUAGUGAAUAGACUUGUAUGGAACAUAACUCAUCUUUGAGAAUAUCAUCAUAGUGGUAAGGACUUGCCUGACCUUUAGAGAGCCAUAUACUUUCCUGUCUAAGGAAUAGUCUUGAAUAACAGAAUUACCAAAUGAGUACAAAACAAU